rnacentral:misc_RNA from 1 species
AAAAAAAAAAAGAUGUGGUAUUUGCACUAGCAUUAUUAAAACCAAUAAAAAAGGCAAAGAAUAUUCAAGUAAAUUAUUUUAUUCCAUGUGGGAUUUAAAGGCAAAGAAUAUUUAACUAAAUUAUUUUAUGCCAUGUGGGAUUUAAUUUGUCAAUGGUCGGACCAAAAGCAGAACAAAGAGAAACUUGGUGCUUAAAAAUUUUGGAAUAAUAAUUUCGAUCGAUAUUAACCUGAUAAGUUCUUUCAUAACAUUAUCAAAAUAUUUGAAGACUUCUGGUGAUUGUGAAGACUCAAAUUGACUAAUUUAAAUUUGUUUAGUAUUAAUAUUUGCCUUGGCUGAAUGUUUAUUUUGAAGGUACAGUCUAAAAGUCUCAGUCACCUCCUUGAAUUUUGAAAAUAAGCAUAUGUAGUUGUUGCAAUUUACUUCAUUGUUUAGAUGAAACUUAGUAAAAUGAACAAGACAUAUAUUAGACGUUAAGAGAUUUUCCUCUUUAGUCUGGUUGAGUCAGAGUUGGAGCUUUGUCUUCAUCAUCAUCAUCAUCAUCCAGGUUGAAACGCUCACUCUCUUGAGUUAGAUGAGUGAAUGAGAGUUGACUCUUGAAUAAUUCAGGGAGAGUAUCAGUUCUAUCAACUAAAUUUAGAAUUAAAAGAAAAUUUUAAGUUUCUCAAAUUUUUUCUUUUCCCUUGUCAUUUGAUGCCUUGGUGAACCUCCACUUGACUUCAUUAUUAUUAUUAUUAUUUAUCGAAGGUAAAGUAGUAUUAUUGAUAAAAAAACACAGUAAGCAUCAAUCCUAUUACAGGUUGAACACCAAAGCCAGACUCUAAUACAAAGGAUUCUACACAAACAAACAACCAACCACCUAAACCUAAGCCAAAAACUGAACUAGCCAAGCAGUGCAUCCCCGACGUCUCAAAAAACAGCUGCUGGGGAAUCUUCCUCGCCGAGUAACACCAAAACACCAUGCAAGGCAAGUAGCCAAAUCAAAUAAUCCCCUACGAAAGCAUUCCCAAAGAAGCAAGAAAGCUGGUUCAGGAUCCAUCAACAAAUAACGUACAUAAGAGUCCCAACCAAGGAAAUUGACAGAGCAAUAGAUCAUUGCAAAAACUAGCAGAGGGUGGUGGUGUUAGUAGAGCUUUUCGCUAUCUCACUUGCGCCUUAUGGAUGACCAUUUGGAUAUUGGCCCCCCAACGAAGCACCACCUACCAUAUUCUCGCAGCUUCUCACCAAACAACAUUAGAUGCGCAGGCAAACGAUCUACAAACUCCCAAAAAACAAAAGAAAGAAACCAAGGAAAAUAGCACAACAAGAAUACAAGCAGAUCUCUAGAUCCGAUCAAUUUAUUAUCUGAUUGUGUUACACAAGUUAUGAAUAAAUGAAAUAUUUUAUGUCUCAAUUAUCAAAUAAUAUGGGCUGUGAACACCAUAACUGGGUUGAGACUAGACUGCAAAUUGCUGAUGCAGUUAAAUUCUUCUUCUAAUUGCACAACUACAAAUCUCAAUGGACUGAAAAUGCCUUUCCUAUAAAAUUAAUUGGCUCAACUUUAUGCAAGUUAUUUUAGGUCUGCAGAUAAGGUAAUAUAAGUUUGGUGCAAUAUUUUUUUUUUAAUAAUUUAUAUCGAAA